rnacentral:tRNA from 1 species
GGUGGGGUCGCAUAGUGGUCUAGUGCGGUUGCUUGGAGAGCAACUGUCCGGGAAACCGGACCGCGAGUUCGAAUCUCGCCCCCACCG